rnacentral:rRNA from 1 species
UACAGAGGGGGCAAGCGUUAUUCGGAAUUAUUGGGCGUAAAGGGCUCGUAGGUUGCCAACUAAGUCAGACGUGAAAUCCCUCGGCUUAACCGGGGAACUGCGUCUGAUACUGGAUGGCUUGAGUUCGGGAGAGGGAUGCGGAAUUCCAGGUGUAGCGGUGAAAUGCGUAGAUAUCUGGAGGAACACCGGUGGCGAAGGCGGCAUCCUGGACCGACACUGACACUGAGGAGCGAAAGCCAGGGGAGCAAACGGG